CCGCGGGGACCAGGAGGCCCAAUGGGGCCAGGGAUUCCAUUAGCACCAUCUUUGCCAGAGGGACCAACGGGGCCAGGGGGACCCUACAGGCCAGGAGAAAGAAAAGGUAAUAAGAUAGGAGCAGAGGCUAGCAGGUAGCAUGGCUGGUCAGGUGGCCACCCUGAUGGGACGGGGACACUGCUGAGCCACAGUGCCUGAAAUUGGUCUCUGUUUGGCCUAGGACCAGCAGGCUCCUUUCAUGGCUCUCCCACCCUCCUGAGUUCCCGUCUACAAAAUCCUGCCAUUGGAGGCUGAUGUGUAGAGGUGGCCUCAUACUCCUCCCAGAAAACUGGCUCUACCUCUCUCUAGGGCCAGAGGGACCAGCAGGACCUGAAGCACCUUGGUCUCCAGAAGGACCCUGCGGAAGAAAGCAGCAAAAGGCAGAGAUCAGCACAGACAAACACAUAAAACCGCCUACCUGGGGAGGUGGAAAGCAGCCCAGAAUGAUGGACUUACAGAUGGACCAACUUUGCCUUGAGGACCGGCAUCACCGGGGCGACCAGUGAGACCCUGUGUUCAGGAGAGAGAAGGUGGUGUCAAGGACAGGCCCAAGACCUCCCAAUCCUGGCGGCACAGAUUGGAGAGAGCAGGCUCCUGAGGUCCAUCCCAUCCACCCACCAACCAGAGUUGGCUUGGUGCAGGAGCCACAGUCUGCAAGAUUCUGAGAGGGGGACCGAUGGGCCCAACACCGCCAGGCUCUCCGCGAGCACCUCUUUUGCCUUCUUCACCAGCAGGACCAGGAGCUCCCUGGGGGCCAGCAGGACCCUGAGGACCAACACAGAGAAAGACAGGAGGACCUGUUGCACCUUGAGGACCAGGAGGACCACGGGGCCCAGGGAAGCCAGGAGCACCAGCAAUCCCAGGAGCACCCUGUCAGCAAGAGCAGAAUCAGACACAUCAAGAGAGAGGGGAGGAAAGAUUGAGCCCACCUGAGGAACCAGCCCAGGGGCAGCACUCACGGCAGAUCCUUUGGCUCCAGGGAUGCCAUCUGUUCCAGG